rnacentral:rRNA from 1 species
AAUCAACGCUGGCGGCGUGCCUAACACAUGCAAGUCGCACGAGAAAGGGACUUCGGUCCUGAGUACAGUGGCGCACGGGUGAGUAACACGUGAAUAAUCUACCUUCGAGUGGGGAAUAACUGAGAGAAAUCUUAGCUAAUACCGCAUAAUACCUACGGGUCAAAGCAGCAAUGCGCUUGAAGAGGAGUUCGCGGCAGAUUAGUUAGUUGGCAGGGUAAUGGCCACCAAGACGAUGAUCUGUAUCCGGCCUGAGAGGGCGCACGGACACACUGGAACUGAAACACGGUCCAGACUCCUACGGGAGGCAGCAGUGGGGAAUUUUGCGCAAUGGGGGAAACCCUGACGCAGCAACGCCGCGUGGAGGAUGAAAUCCCUUGGGAUGUAAACUCCUUCGAUCGGGAAGAUAAUGACGGUACCGAGAGAAGAA